AUUAGAGAGGCCCCACUUAUUACUCACAGUGUAAAAUAAUUUGUUCCCCAGAGUGUUGUUCCUAAACUAAUGGCCCUUAUGUGACUUUUAAGAGGGUUAAAUACAGGGUUAUUCACCAAAAAUGAAAAUUAAAAGUGAAUUCCAAUAUUUUUAUAUUUUUUAUUCUUUAUUUUUGUUGUGAGAUACAAUUAAGCUUGACAUGCCACAACAGCAGCAACAAGCAUGACGAUAUUGAAUGUUAAACCGGCAUGGCAUGUGGAAAUUCUGCCUCUUUUUUAAAGGAUAUAAAGUAAACAGGAUAAACAGACAUGUCUAGUUCGGAUUGCUGAUAAGAGAUAAGUACCUAUUAUGGAUAGACGUUUUAACAUCAGUGGUAGUGAAUUUCAAAUUCAAGGUCAGAAUGUUAUCAGUUUGGCGGAAUUCUCACUUUAGUGAAUAACUGUUACUACCCAAAUGAUCAAAUUUUUGUAUUAUUCCUAUUGAAUUAAGCCAUUAAUUGAUAUGAGCCAUGAUGAACAGUUUGUUACAGUUUAAAUUACCAGUUAUUGAUAUAACAAGUUCUAAUGGAUUUGAAAAUCAAUCACCUGCUCUUGUCUUUGAAACAGUAAAGUGUUUUUUUUUUUUUUUAAUUGCUUUUUUUUUUAAUGUUUUGAAGAGAAAAUCAUGAAUCCUCUGGGAUAUCCAUCUGCAUACCUUUACAAAUAAAGAACCUGCUCUGUAUAUUUUCCUUUAAUUACAUCUUGGAUAUAAAGUAAAAUUCAUUAAUAAUAAAGGAUUCAAAUUUGAA